rnacentral:lncRNA from 1 species
CUGGCAACUGUGUGUGUGGAUGGACCCACAGCAUCACCUCUGGGGGGGGGGGACACAGACUGUACUGUUACGUACAGCUCUUCUCUUUAUGGGCACUCUGGUAUGCUGAUCUCACCAGGCUGGCGGAUGAACAGCUAAAAGGUGGUGACCUACAAGGGGUUACAAAGGACAUGUCUGGGUGGCUCAGUUAGUUGGGCAUCAAAUUCUUAGUUUUGGCUCAGGUCAUGAUCUCAGGGUCAUGAGAUCAACCCCUGCAUUGGGCUCCAUGCUCAGGAGGGAGUCUGAGAUUUUGUCCCUCUGCCCUUCCUCCUUCCUUGUGCACGUUUUUUUUUUUUCUCUCUCUCUCAAAUAAGUAAAUAAAUCUGGCUUCUCUUCCCUGCUCUCUUCUCUGGCCUCAUACACAUCACGGGCUCAGAAUCCACAGGGAGUGCAGUGAACCAAACAAGUGAAAUCAAGCCUAUUCGUCUUUUCCUUUUAGAGACGGAAAACUCAAGUAACAUCACUGGUCUUUAGAUCUUUGCCUUUAUGACUGGAUAAAGCAAAGCCAGGCGACAAGAGUGGGAAAAACGGUUGACCAAGACCAUUUUCUAAAUGGGCUUUUUCCACAUGACGGAAAUAGAGAUUAGAGCUAGAAUUGAAGAAAGGGUCCCGAGCAAACCUGGGAGAAGGAUGGGAGGUACCGAAAAAGCACUUGAGAAGCUCCUAGGCAAGUCUAGAAGAAAAGCUCAUUUUCCCAUUAGGAAAAUGCUUUUGUCAAGUAGCCUGUGUUCCUGUAGCACAAGAUGUACCAAGCAUUGACCUUGCAAGUUGUCGAGACAGAGAAAGAGAGAGAAAUAUGAUCACAAUUUGCCACGUUUCGGAGUUCCAUCCUGACAUGCAGACAAUUUUGUUCAGCAAACAUCCAGUGAUUUUUUAGCGGGAAGUAAAUAUGUCAACAGGAA